rnacentral:rRNA from 1 species
UUGUGAGGUUAAGCGACUAAGCGUACACGGUGGAUGCCCUGGCAGUCAGAGGCGAUGAAGGACGUGCUAAUCUGCGAUAAGCGCCGGUAAGGUGAUAUGAACCGUUAUAACCGGCGAUUUCCGAAUGGGGAAACCCAGUGUGAUUCGUCACACUAUCAUUAACUGAAUCCAUAGGUUAAUGAGGCGAACCGGGGGAACUGAAACAUCUAAGUACCCCGAGGAAAAGAAAUCAACCGAGAUUCCCCCAGUAGCGGCGAGCGAACGGGGAGGAGCCCAGAGCCUGAAUCAGCAUGUGUGUUAGUGGAAGCGUCUGGAAAGGCGCGCGAUACAGGGUGACAGCCCCGUACACAAAAGCGCAUGUGCUGUGAGCUCGAUGAGUAGGGCGGGACACGUGGUAUCCUGUCUGAAUAUGGGGGGACCAUCCUCCAAGGCUAAAUACUCCUGACUGACCGAUAGUGAACCAGUACCGUGAGGGAAAGGCGAAAAGAACCCCGGCGAGGGGAGUGAAAAAGAACCUGAAACCGUGU